CCCUGCCAUUUGUACACACCGCCCGUCGCUACUACCGAUUGAAUGGCUUAGUGAGCCUUUGGGAUUGGCAGCUUGUACCGGCAACGGUAGCAGGCCGCUGAAAACUUAGGCAAACUUGGUCAUUUAGA
rnacentral:rRNA from 1 species